rnacentral:rRNA from 1 species
AUUGAACGCUGGCGGCAUGCCUUACACAUGCAAGUCGAACGGCAGCACGGGAGCAAUCCUGGUGGCGAGUGGCGAACGGGUGAGUAAUAUAUCGGAACGUGCCCAGUCGUGGGGAUAACGUAGCGAAAGCUACGCUAAUACCGCAUACGAUCUAUGGAUGAAAGCGGGGGAUCGCAAGACCUCGCGCGAUUGGAGCGGCCGAUAUCAGAUUAGGUAGUUGGUGAGGUAAAGGCUCACCAAGCCGACGAUCUGUAGCUGGUCUGAGAGGACGACCAGCCACACUGGGACUGAGACACGGCCCAGACUCCUACGGAGGCAGCAGUGGGAAUUUUGGACAAUGGCGCAAGCCUGAUCCAGCAAUGCCGCGUGCAGGAUGAA